rnacentral:rRNA from 1 species
CCUACGGGAGGCAGCAGUGGGGAAUUUUGCGCAAUGCUCGUAAGAGUGACGCAGCGACGCCGCGUGAAUGACGAAGGCCUUCGGGUCGUAAAGUUCUUUCGACAGGGAAGAAAAUGCCUAUAAGUAACUGUGUAUGUAUUGACGGUACCUGUAUAAGCAGCCCCGGCUAACUCCGUGCCAGCAGCCGCGGUAAUACGGAGGGGGCGAGCGUUGUUCGGAGGGACUGGGCGUAAAGAGCACGUAGGCGGUGUUGUAAGUCAUUAGUCAAAGACUAGAGCUCAACUUUAGUAAGGCUAGUGAUACUAUAAUACUAGAGUAUCAGAGAGGAUUGCAGAAUGCCUGGUGGAGCGGUGAAAUGCGUAGAUAUCAGGAGGAAUACCGUUAGCGAAGGCGGCAAUCUGGCUGGAAACUGACGCUGAGGUGCGAAAGCGUGGGUAGCAAACAGGAUUAGAUACCCGAGUAGUC